rnacentral:rRNA from 1 species
UACGUAGGGUGCAAGCGUUAUCCGGAAUUAUUGGGCGUAAAGAGCUCGUAGGCGGUUUGUCGCGUCUGCUGUGAAAACCGGAGGCUCAACCUCCGGCCUGCAGUGGGUACGGGCAAACUAGAGUGCGGUAGGGGAGAUUGGAAUUCCUGGUGUAGCGGUGGAAUGCGCAGAUAUCAGGAGGAACACCGGUGGCGAAGGCGGGACUCUGGGCCGAUACUGACGCUGAGGAGCGAAAGCGUGGGGAGCAAACAGG